GACGAACGCUGGCGGCGUGCUUAACACAUGCAAGUCGAACGGAAAGGCCCUGCUUUUGUGGGUUGCUCGAUUGGCGAACGGGUGAGUAACACUUGAGUAACCUGCCCUUGACUUUGGGAUAACUUCAGGAAACUGGGGCUAAUACCGGAUAGGAGCUCCUGCUGCAUGGUGGGGUUUGGAAAGUUUCGGCGGUUGGGGAUGGACUCGCGGCUUAUCAGCUUGUUGGUGGGGUAGUGGCUUACCAAGGCUUUGACGGGUAGCCGGCCUGAGAGGGUGACCGGCGACAUUGGGACUGAGAUACGGCCCAGACUCCUACGGGAGGCAGCAGUGGGGAAUAUUGCACAAUGGGCGGAAGCCUGAUGCAGAAACGCCGCGUGCGGGAUGACGGCCUUCGGGUUGUAAACCGCUUUCGCCUGUGACGAAGCGUGAGUGACGGUAAUGGGUAAAGAAGCACCGGCUAACUACGUG
rnacentral:rRNA from 1 species